GAUGAAGAACGCAGCAAAAUGCGAUAAGUAAUGUGAAUUGCAGAAUUCAGUGAAUCAUCGAAUCUUUGAACGCACAUUGUGCCCGCUGGUAUUCCGGCGGGCAUGCCUGUUCGAGCGUCAUUUCAACCCUCAAGCCCCCCGGGUUUGGUGUUGGGGAUCGGCUCUGCCUCACGGCGGUGCCGCCCCCGAAAUACAUUGGCGGUCUCGCUGCAGCCUCCAUUGCGUAGUAGCUAACACCUCGCAACUGGAACGCGGCGCGGCCAUGCCGUAAAACCCCAACUUCUGAAUGUUGACCUCGGAUCAGGUAGGAAUACCCGCUGAACUUAAGCAUAUCAAUAAGCGGAGGA
rnacentral:misc_RNA from 1 species